UUUCUAUAUCAAAAUCUCUUUUCGAUCAUAACAUUACAAUAAUGGACACAUAUUUCUUUAUGCAUGGAAUUUGCAUCUUAAAGUUACACAAGUUUUAUAUCAACUGAAAUGUUUUGGUCUCAUCAAAUUUUCCAGAUUGACACAUUACUACACUAGGUCACUUGUCCUUGCACCUUUACCAAAAUGGACACAAGGUGAUGCCUUUAAUAACAAGAACCAAAAUAAUUCCUGCUAAGUGCAUAUAUAUUAAGUACACACCAAAACAUUUCAGUUGUGCUGAAGGAAAGAUAGAGGAAUCAAAUGUGUUCUUAAGUUUCUUUGAAGGAAAGGUAAAUGCAAGGGCUGGAAAGGAAAGGAUGGAGGAGCAAAUAGAUUUGGAGCCACAGUCUUCCUCUCAACCGGGUGGAUUGACAAAGGAGUAGCGGGAUAAUCCGUAAUAACACCAUCCACAUUAGCUCCCAUGACGUAUGUGUUUAAUUCAACAUAUGGAUCUGAAAAGAAGUCCCAAGGUUGUGACACAAACUCAUUGUUCAUAAUCUGUACAUAUACUGGGAGCUUAAAAGCCUGAAGCUUGUCAACGACAUCAGUUUGACCAACAAGAAAUCCUGCACUUCGAGGGAAAACCGACUCCUUGCCAACAACUACAGAAUUGGCGAAUUUACUGAUAUCCAAAAUUGUUGAGUUUAGCGCAUCUCGGAUGUUCUCAUGAACUUCAUAAACUAGUUCAUGCCGGUUGCUUUUGGCCUUGAAUAAUUUUAGAACCCCACCUUCAGGAGAUUGGAUUAAUAUUUUCUUAGCCCUCUGAUUGUUGUAAGUAGAUUUAUUCAAUACAUCCAUCACUGCAUCUACAACACUUAAUCCUUCACUUGCUGCCAGGUAUGGUGCAUUCUGGAUGUUAAAGAACCAAAAUUCUGUCAGUUCUUUUGGUAAUAUGGGAACGAGAGGUAGCACUAUGAGCAAGUUGAAUAACGGCACUUCGCUGAAAUGGGACAUACUUAAAGCAGGCCAGGUUGGUUGACACAUAAACUCUUUAUUGGCCAGCUUUAAAAAGAAUUAUAUAUAUAGUGCAAUUUAUCAUGAUAAAAAUAAAUUUACAGUGUUACAAAAUAACUUGGAAUAAAAACAAUCUAGGAGGUUGUAUGCAUUAAAAUAAACUUCAGCUAAUUUUUUUAAUUUGACUUGUUUGAGUAAACACAAUUCA